rnacentral:lncRNA from 1 species
AUCAAACUAAGUGUCUCUCACCAAAAAAAUAUCAUCUAUUUCUAGUCAUUCUCCCUCUCUUCUAUGACCAUCCAUUCUCCCUUUCUCCUGCUCAAAUCCAUUUCUACUUUCUCUCUAAAAAAUCAUCUAUUUCUCGCCUUUCUCCCUUUCUCCUAUGCCUAUCCAUUCGGCCUCCCAUUCUCUCUUUUAUGCACAUAUCCAUUUAUACGCGCAUAUCCAUUUAUACAUUUUCUCUAAAUUCCUCUUAUAAGUGUUUGCGCAUAUGCACAUCCAUUUCUACACUCUCCUGCCCACAUCCAUUU